UACGGGGGGGGCAAGCGUUGUUCGGAAUUACUGGGCGUAAAGGGCUCGUAGGUGGCCAACUAAGUCAGACGUGAAAUCCCUCGGCUUAACCGAGGAACUGCGUCUGAUACUGGAUGGCUUGAGUUUGGGAGAGGGAUGCGGAAUUCCAGGUGUAGCGGUGAAAUGCGUAGAUAUCUGGAGGAACACCGGUGGCGAAGGCGGCAUCCUGGACCAACACCGACGCUGAACAGCGAAAGCCAGGGGAGCAAACGGG
rnacentral:rRNA from 1 species